rnacentral:lncRNA from 1 species
CUGCCACCCUGCAGGCCGGGAAGUUGGCAGGUGUGGCGGGUGGGGUGAGGGGUCCGAGUCCCAUGGCCUAGGACGUUCAUUUCUCCGAGGCUCGGUCUCUCCUCUGGUGGGACCAUGUCUCGAAGAGCCCCUGGCUUGGCUUCUGGAGCUGGCGGCCAGAGCCACCAGGAAGAUCAAGGAGCCAGGGCCACCCUCACGUUGCCUAGGCAACAGCAUCCGUGAUCAGACUGUAAGGCAACUGGGACCCAUGCGUGCUCCCCGGGGGAGGCUGCAGGUUCACGUCGGUGUCCGGGUAUCUUACAGAAUGUUCUUAAUCUUCACGUGCUUCUUCUGAGAUCAGUGAUAAAGAAGACACGGAUACAGCAAGAAGGAAGGAGGCCCUGUGCACGACACUAAGAUGAGUGACGCCACAGCACGGACCUUUGCUCAAGAUCCGUCAGCAGGAAAUACCCCCCAAGUGCCGAGAGUGCUGGCAUGCAGCAGAGAAGGCUGUAAGUGACUGUGAGGUUUCCUUCAUUAUACUCAUCUGCAUUUUCCAAAUUUUGAAAAUGAGUAUAUAUUAAUUACACACUAAAAAACAUCAUUUACAUCUGUAAUCCCAGCACUUUGGGAGGCCAAGGUGGGCGGGCGGAUCACUUGAGGUCAGGAGUUCGAGACCAGCCUGGCCAACAUGGUAAAACCUUGUCUUUACUGAAAAUACAAAAAAAUAGCCAGGCGUGGUGGUGGGCGCCUGUAGUCCCAGCUACUCAGGAGGCUGAGGCAUGAGAAUUGCUUGAACCAGGGAGGUGGAGGUUGCAGUGAGCCGAGAUCACACCACUGCACUCCAGCCUGGUGAUAGGGUGAGACUUCAUCUCAAAACAACAAUAACAACAACAAUAACAGACUUCAUUUACCUGGGUGUGAUGCUUCACGCCUGUAAUCCCAGUGCUUUGGGAGGCCGAGGCAGACAGAUCACUUGAGGUCAGGAAUUCAAGACCAGUCUGGCCAACAUGGUGAAACCCUGUCUCUACUAAAAAAACAAAAAUUAGUUGAGCGUGGUGGUGCAGAUCUGUAAUCCCAGCUACUUGGAAGGCUGAGGCAGGAGGAUUGCUUGAACCCAGGAGGCAGAGGUUGCAGUGAGCCAAGAUCAUGCUGCUGGCACUCCAGCCGGGGCUACAGAGCAAGACUCCGUCUCAGAAAAACCUCCCAAAAACCCACCAUUUAAAAACGAAGCAAUGCUGCCUUUUAAGGAAUAUGGUAGACACAAAUAACAUCAGAAAGGCAUCCGAAAGCUAAUAAGGAAUUACCAAGUCAGACCUUAAUGGAAAGUAGCAACAAAAACAGGCCACUGGGCUCUGAGACAGCUUUUAGUUUCACGCAUGAGCCGAUCUUGCCAUACUUACCUUUGGUUUUGACAGCCUCCAAGGGCAAGAAAAACAUAAUCAAAUCCAAGGGUGUCCAAGGUGGGAUCUAAGAGAGAACUCCCCAGAUUAAGCCAAGAUUUCAAGAGUUCUGCCCCAAAAGGGUAAGAUUGAAGCAGGCCUCACCCUACCCCCAUGACCUAAGGAACCACAGAAAUCAGCUCAAUGCUAUGGGAGACGAUCUCACAGCCUGGCCAAUUUUUAUAUUUUUAGUAGUGAUGGGGUUUUGCCAUGUUGGCCAGGCUGGUCUUGAACUCCUGACCUCAGGUGAUCUACUCACUUCAGACUUCCAAAGUGCUGGGAUUACAGGUGGGAGCCACUGUCCCUGGCUGUAGGAUUCCAUUUUGUAAAACCCUAGAAAAAUGGAAACUAAUCAAGAGUUUCUUUUUAUUUUAUUUAUUUAUUUAUUUAUUUAUUUAUUUAUUUGAGCCUGAGUCUCGCUCUGUCACCCAGGUGAUCUCGGUGCGAUCUCAGCUCACUGCAACUUCCAUCUCGCGGGUUCAAGUGAUUCUCCUGCCUCAGCCUCCCGAGUAGCUGGGAUUACAGGUGUGUGCCACCACGCCCAGCUAAUUUUUGUGUUUGUAGUAGAGACGGGUUUCACCAUAUUGGCAAGGCUUGUCUUGAACUCCUGACCUCAAAUGAUCUGCCCACCUUGGCCUCCCAAGGUGCUAGGAUUACAGGUGUGAGCCAUCAUGCCCAGCCACAUUUCUUUUUUUUUUUUUUUUUUUUUUUUUUGAGACGGAGUCUCACUCUGUUGCCCAGGUUGGAGUGCAGUGGCACAGUCUUGGCUCACUACAACCUCUGCCUCCCAGGUUCAAGCAGUUCUCCUGCCUCAGCCUCCCGAGUAGCUGGGAUUACAGGCAUAUGUCACCACGUCCAGCUAACUUUUGUAUUUUUAGUAGAGAUGGGGUUUCACCAUGUUGGCCAGGCUGGUCUUGAACUCCUGAUCUCAAAUGAUCCACCCACCUUGACCUCCCAAAGUGUUGGAAUUACAGGCAUGAGCCACCGCGCCUGGCCACAUUUCUCUUUUUAAUAAAACCCCCAACCUUCUCUUUGUUCUUUGGACAUAUUGAAGUUCACCCCAGCCUGUGGAUAUGCCUCAAAAUAUAAUUCUAUGAUUCCCAUACAAGGUGUUUUGUUUAGAGAUCCAUCUCUAUAUUUUUAUUUGACCUUGAUAGUAUUUUUUUUUUUUUUGAGAUGGAAUCUCACUCUGUCGCCCAGGCUGGGGUGCAGUGGCGCGAUCUCAGCUCACUGCAAGCUCUGCCUCCCGGGUUCACGCCAUUCUCCUGCCUCAGCCUCUCCAGCAGCUGGGACUACAGGCACAUGCCGCCACGCCUGGCUAAUUUUUCUAUUUUUAGUAGAGACGGGGUUUCACUGUGUUAGCGAGGAUGGUCUCGAU